rnacentral:rRNA from 1 species
AGAGUUUGAUCCUGGCUCAGAACGAACGCUGGCGGCGCGCCUAAUACAUGCAAGUCGAGCGAGAAGGUGUAGCAAUACACUUGUAAAGCGGCGAACGGGUGAGGAAUGCAUGGGUAACCUACCCUCGAGUGGGGAAUAACUAGCCGAAAGGUUAGCUAAUACCGCAUACGUUUCCGGGACUUCGGUUCCGGAAAGAAAGCAAUACCGUGGGUAUUGCGCUCAUGGAUGGGCUCAUGUCCUAUCAGCUUGUUGGUGAGGUAACGGCUCACCAAGGCUUCGACGGGUAGCUGGUCUGAGAGGACGAUCAGCCACACUGGCACUGCGACACGGGCCAGACUCCUACGGGAGGCAGCAGUAAGGAAUAUUGCGCAAUGGACGAAAGUCUGACGCAGCGACGCCGCGUGGGGGAUGAAGGUCUUCGGAUUGUAAACCCCUUUCGGGAGGGAAGAUGGAGUGGGUAACCACUUGGACGGUACCUCCAGAAGCAGCCACGGCUAACUUCGUGCCAGCAGCGCGGUAAUACGUAGGGUCCGAGCGUUGUCCGGAAUUACUGGGCGUAAAGAGCUCGUAGGUGGUUUGUCGCGUUGUUCGUGAAAACUCACAGCUUAACUGUGGGCGUGCGGGCGAUACGGGCAGACUAGAGUACUGCAGGGGAGACUGGAAUUCCUGGUGUAGCGGUGGAAUGCGCAGAUAUCAGGAGGAACACCGGUGGCGAAGGCGGGUCUCUGGGCAGUAACUGACGCUGAGGAGCGAAAGCGUGGGUAGCGAACAGGAUUAGAUACCCUGGUAGUCCAA